rnacentral:lncRNA from 1 species
UACAAGGUUCACAUUGUGACUCGCAACAGAUAUUUAACGAUAUCAAUGUGUAGAUACAAAUAAUCCCUUAGAGUUUAAAUGAUGUGGAUGUAAGCAAUCAUGUGCCAACGUACGACCUUCAACAAUAAGAAAACCCAAUACCAUAUUAUUGGUAACAACCAAAACUAAUUUCAUAAUUUAUAACAAAAUGAUUUAUAAAAAAAAAACCCAGAAACGACAGACAUGAACCCACGACAACAGAAGACAUAAAGAUUGUGGCGGACUUAAACAAAUUGUGAGUGCUGAACUCUCUCCAUACAUAGGACAGUGGUGUAACAGCACAACA